rnacentral:snoRNA from 1 species
GGAUCAAUGAUGAAUUAAUAUGUGGAUUUCAUUAAAAUCUGAAAAAAAAAUAAGUGACAGAAACAAUUCUGUGAGCUGAGGUCU